AAUUGAAGAGUUUGAUCAUGGCUCAGAUUGAACGCUGGCGGCAGGCCUAACACAUGCAAGUCGAGCGGUAGCACAGAGAGCUUGCUCUCGGGUGACGAGCGGCGGACGGGUGAGUAAUGUCUGGGAAACUGCCUGAUGGAGGGGGAUAACUACUGGAAACGGUAGCUAAUACCGCAUAAUGUCGCAAGACCAAAGUGGGGGACCUUCGGGCCUCAUGCCAUCAGAUGUGCCCAGAUGGGAUUAGCUAGUAGGUGGGGUAACGGCUCACCUAGGCGACGAUCCCUAGCUGGUCUGAGAGGAUGGCCAGCCACACUGGAACUGAGACACGGUCCAGACUCCUACGGGAGGCAGCAGUGGGGAAUAUUGCACAAUGGGCGCAAGCCUGAUGCAGCCAUGCCGCGUGUGUGAAGAAGGCCUUCGGGUUGUAAAGCACUUUCAGCGGGGAGGAAGGCGGUGAGGUUAAUAACCUCAUCGAUUGACGUUACCCGCAGAAGAAGCACCGGCUAACUCCGUGCCAGCAGCCGCGGUAAUACGGAGGGUGCAAGCGUUAAUCGGAAUUACUGGGCGUAAAGCGCACGCAGGCGGUCUGUCAAGUCGGAUGUGAAAUCCCCGGGCUCAACCUGGGAACUGCAUUCGAAACUGGCAGGCUAGAGUCUUGUAGAGGGGGGUAGAAUUCCAGGUGUAGCGGUGAAAUGCGUAGAGAUCUGGAGGAAUACCGGUGGCGAAGGCGGCCCCCUGGACAAAGACUGACGCUCAGGUGCGAAAGCGUGGGGAGCAAACAGGAUUAGAUACCCUGGUAGUCCACGCCGUAAACGAUGUCGAUUUGGAGGUUGUGCCCUUGAGGCGUGGCUUCCGGAGCUAACGCGUUAAAUCGACCGCCUGGGGAGUACGGCCGCAAGGUUAAAACUCAAAUGAAUUGACGGGGGCCCGCACAAGCGGUGGAGCAUGUGGUUUAAUUCGAUGCAACGCGAAGAACCUUACCUGGUCUUGACAUCCACAGAACUUUCCAGAGAUGGAUUGGUGCCUUCGGGAACUGUGAGACAGGUGCUGCAUGGCUGUCGUCAGCUCGUGUUGUGAAAUGUUGGGUUAAGUCCCGCAACGAGCGCAACCCUUAUCCUUUGUUGCCAGCGGUCCGGCCGGGAACUCAAAGGAGACUGCCAGUGAUAAACUGGAGGAAGGUGGGGAUGACGUCAAGUCAUCAUGGCCCUUACGACCAGGGCUACACACGUGCUACAAUGGCAUAUACAAAGAGAAGCGACCUCGCGAGAGCAAGCGGACCUCAUAAAGUAUGUCGUAGUCCGGAUUGGAGUCUGCAACUCGACUCCAUGAAGUCGGAAUCGCUAGUAAUCGUAGAUCAGAAUGCUACGGUGAAUACGUUCCCGGGCCUUGUACACACCGCCCGUCACACCAUGGGAGUGGGUUGCAAAAGAAGUAGGUAGCUUAACCUUCGGGAGGGCGCUUACCACUUUGUGAUUCAUGACUGGGGUGAAGUCGUAACAAGGUAACCGUAGGGGAACCUGCGGUUGGAUCACCUCCUUACCUUA
rnacentral:rRNA from 1 species